rnacentral:rRNA from 3 species
CGUAGGUGAACCUGCGGAGGAUCAUUA